UGUCUUCUGCUGAUCUUAUUCUUAAUUUCCUUCCUUUCACUCGGGGAGACUCCAACUUGACAAUAUCUUUGUCCCCUCUCGACAAGUCAGCCCCUUUUCCAUAGUCAACACUGAAAUCCAUAUAGUAUUUAAAGGCAUGUUUCAAAGUCCCUCCAAAGUUAAGGGCCCCCACAACUCCGAACUCCCCCGGCCCAAAGCCAGACUCGAAAGGUCAAAACAUCCCUGCAUAGGGGGAUCCAUCCAGCCCCCCAUCUCCAAGCCAAACAGAACUCCAUCUCUCCAAAUCUGACUUUUUCCAGGUUCAUUCGUCAAAUCCAACAACUCAUGUUCCUGCUGGGCCACAGCUCUCUCCAUUUCUGCUACUUGAGGUUCAGCAACAACCUCCUCCUUUAUCUGAUCUGUCAAAGCACAUUCCUGGAUUAAUUCCUGAGUGGGUUCUAUAUAGGUACCCACUGCCUGUCCAAAAUUUCCGACCG
rnacentral:lncRNA from 1 species